rnacentral:rRNA from 1 species
ACGAGUUUGAUCCUGGCUCAGAUUGAACGCUGGCGGCAUGCUUUACACAUGCAAGUCGAACGGUAACAGGCCUUCGGGUGCUGACGAGUGGCGAACGGGUGAGUAAUGCAUCGGAACGUGCCCAAUCGGUGGGGGAUAACGUAGCGAAAGUUACGCUAAUACCGCAUAAGCCCUGAGGGGGAAAGCAGGGGGAUCGCAAGACCUUGCGCGAAUGGAGCGGCCGAUGUCAGAUUAGCUAGUUGGUGGGGUAAAGGCCUACCAAGGCGACGAUCUGUAGCGGGUCUGAGAGGAUGAUCCGCCACACUGGGACUGAGACACGGCCCAGACUCCUACGGGAGGCAGCAGUGGGGAAUUUUGGACAAUGGGCGCAAGCCUGAUCCAGCCAUGCCGCGUGCGGGACGAAGGCCUUCGGGUUGUAAACCGCUUUCAGCCGGAAAGAAAUCGCCAAGGCUAAUAUCCUUGGUGGAUGACGGUACCGGAAGAAGAAGCACCGGCUAACUACGUG